rnacentral:rRNA from 1 species
GCGGCGUGCCUACACAUGCAGUCGUACGCGGUGGCAACACCGAGUGGCGAACGGGUGCGUAACACGUGAGGAACCUACCCCGAAGUGGGGGAUAACACCGGGAAACCGGUGCUAAUACCGCAUACGCUCCCUGGACCGCAUGGUCCAGGGAGCAAAGCCUCCGGGCGCUUCGGGACGGCCUCGCGGCCUAUCAGCUUGUUGGUGGGGUAACGGCCCACCAAGGCGACGACGGGUAGCUGGUCUGAGAGGACGAUCAGCCACACUGGGACUGAGACACGGCCCAGACUCCUACGGGAGGCAGCAGUGGGGAAUAUUGCGCAAUGGGCGAAAGCCUGACGCAGCAACGCCGCGUGGAGGACGAAGGCCUUCGGGUUGUAAACUCCUUUCAGCAGGGACGAAACUGACGGUACCUGCAGAAGAAGCCCCGGCUAACUACGUGCCAGCAGCCGCGGUAAGACGUAGGGGGCGAGCGUUGUCCGGAUUUACUGGGCGUAAAGAGCUCGUAGGCGGCUUGGCAAGUCGGAGAUGUGAAAUCACCAGGCUCAACCUGGUGUCGCCAUCCGAUACUGCCAUGGCUUCGAGUCCGGUAGAGGACCGUGGAAUUCCUGGUGUAGCGGUGAAAUGCGCAGAUAUCAGGAGGAACACCGAUGGCGAAGGCAGCGGUCUGGGCCGGCACUGACGCUGAAGAGCGAAAGCGUGGGGAAGCAACAGGAUUAGAUACCCUGGUAGUCAAUCCCG